AUACUUCAAGGCUCAGCUCAACUCACAAGAGCUCCCUGCUGGUUCCCCUCUGUCUUUCCUUAAGCCCCCUGCCCCCAACAAACACACACUCACACACAACACGGCACCCACUGUGCUUGACUCUGUUCAUGGAUUGUGUUUCUCAUGGGCUUUGAGACCCCUGAAGACAAACCCCACUCAUUUCUGCUCCCUUUCUGACAGGCACAUGGCAAGACCAUCAGUGAGGGCUGAAUGGACGAUUUUAUGGCCAAGUCUACAGCAGGCGAAGGAGGCUCCCAAGAAGCUGCCUGAAUUCCUAAGCCAGGAAGGUCAGGAAGAGCUAGCCAAGAGCCUUCCCAGCCCCUGCCAAGACCAUGUUCAAGAAACAGACAUGGCAUAGCUAACAGAGCCUGCAGGGGAGAGACGCAUGUCUCCCUCUUUGGAGCAAUGUGAGGGACCUACAGUCAGAAAUACAUCCCCUCUCCUGCCAAGCUCCAGCUGGAAAUUUCUGUAACUAAGAACAAAAGGUAAUUUCAAUUAUGAGCAUGAAAACGUGCCCCAGGCUCUGUCUGCCACCGAAAACCCAGAGAAAAUUGGGAGACGUCGCGUUGGGGACUCGGAGGCUGUGGCAUCUCCGUUGGGGACCUGGGCGGGAGGACGGGGAGGAACCGACGCUCGGGCUCAGGUGCGCCGCUUCUGCCCCCUCCCACGGUAACUGCCACCUGAUCUAAUCUCUCCAGGUUCUGUUGGAUCAGCCUCCACGCACAGAGACCACAGCGCAUACACGGCCCUGUGUGCCUUUCUGCACCCGCUUUGAUUUCCUAAAUACUCUCGCUUGUUGCUACACAAUUUUCAAUCCACCAUUUUGACUAGCAGGAUAGUAUUUCAUUGGCUGGGCAUCCCAUAAUUUAUGGGCCCCUUCCCCUUCCUUGGUGGAAGGUGUCUCUAGUUUUUCCCUAUUAUAAAUAACACCCCAAUAAAUGUCUUUGUGGAUACGAAA